CCUCGCCCUUCCCCGCGGGCGGGGACCUCUCGCAUCUCCCGCCCGCAAACCAAACCCCGGCGCGAAACGCGCCAAGGAAAUCGAACCAAGAGAGCCACGCCGGAGGCCCCGGACACGGUGCGCCCCCGGCGUCGGCAUCUUACGAAUUAUCCAAAACGACUCUCGGCAACGGAUAUCUAGGCUCUCGCAUCGAUGAAGAACGUAGCGAAAUGCGAUACUUGGUGUGAAUUGCAGAAUCCCGCGAAUCAUCGAGUUUUUGAACGCAAGUUGCGCCCGAAGCCACUCGGCCGAGGGCACGUCUGCCUGGGUGUCACACACCGUUGCCCCCCCAAACUCCAAGUUCGGGCGGGGCGGAAGCUGGCCUUCUGUGCGCGCCCGCGCGCGCGGUUAGCCCAAAAGCGAGUCCUCGGCGACGAGCGCCACGACAAUCGGUGGUUUUUUUACCCUCGUUCCCCGUCGUGCGCGGCCCGUCGCCCGAUCUCACGGCCCUCGCGCGUCGCCCCGGCGGCGCUCACAAUGCGACCCCAGUCAGGCCGGAU
rnacentral:misc_RNA from 1 species